UACGUAGGGGGCUAGCGUUGUCCGGAAUCAUUGGGCGUAAAGCGCGUGUAGGCGGUUCGUUAAGUCCGCUGUGAAAGUCGGGGGCUCAACCCUCGAAUGCCGGUGGAUACUGUCGGGCUAGAGUGCGGAAGAGGCGAGUGGAAUUCCUGGUGUAGCGGUGAAAUGCGCAGAUAUCAGGAGGAACACCUAUUGCGAAGGCAGCUCGCUGGGACGUUACUGACGCUGAGACGCGAAAGCGUGGGGAGCAAACAGG
rnacentral:rRNA from 1 species